rnacentral:rRNA from 1 species
GACGAACGCUGGCGGCGUGCUUAACACAUGCAAGUCGAACGGAAAGGCCUCUUUCGGGGGGUACUCGAGUGGCGAACGGGUGAGUAACACGUGAGUAACCUGCCCUUGACUUUGGGAUAAUUUCAGGAAACUGGGGCUAAUACCGGAUAGGAGCUCCUGCUGCAUGGUGGGGGUUGGAAAGUUUCGGCGGUUGGGGAUGGACUCGCGGCUUAUCAGCUUGUUGGUGGGGUAGUGGCUUACCAAGGCUUUGACGGGUAGCCGGCCUGAGAGGGUGACCGGCCACAUUGGGACUGAGAUACGGCCCAGACUCCUACGGGAGGCAGCAGUGGGGAAUAUUGCACAAUGGGUGGAAGCCUGAUGCAGCAACGCCGUGUGCGGGAUGACGGCCUUCGGGUUGUAAACCGCUUUCGCUCAUGACGAAGCUUUGUGUGACGGUAGUGGGUAAAGAAGCACCGGCUAACUACGUG